CACACAAACGAGAAUUUUGCAAUAAAGAUGAUCAAGAAAUCGCAACAAAAAAAAAAGUUGAGUCAAGACCGUAAUAUCCAAAGCGAACUUUGCAUUUUCCGUUUUUCGUGGUUCGUGUUGUUUUCGUUAUUUUCCUUUUCCUUAUCUUUAUUCCUUU
rnacentral:ribozyme from 1 species